UACGUAGGGUGCAAGCGUUGUCCGGAUUAUUGGUGCGUAAAGAGCGUGUAGGCGGUCAGGUAGGUCCGUUGUGAAAACUCGAGGCUCAACCUCGAGACGCCGAUGGAAACCAUCUGACUAGAGUCCGGAAGAGGAGAGUGGAAUUCCUGGUGUAGCGGUGGAAUGCGCAGAUAUCAGGAGGAACACCGGUGGCGAAGGCGGGUCUCUGGGCAGUAACUGACGCUGAGGAGCGAAAGCGUGGGGAGCGAACAGG
rnacentral:rRNA from 1 species